AAGUACGGACCUCCAGAAUGAAUUAAGUACUUAACCUGAGGUACCACUGUAUAUCUAUAUCUAUAUCAUCUAUAUCUAUACAGGGGUACCUUGGGUUAAGAACUUAAUUCAUUCCGAGG